AUUGAACGCUGGCGGCAGGCUUAACACAUGCAAGUCGAGCGGAGAGAGGUAGCUUGCUACCGAUCUUAGCGGCGGACGGGUGAGUAAUGCUUAGGAAUCUGCCUAUUAGUGGGGGACAACAUUUCGAAAGGAAUGCUAAUACCGCAUACGUCCUACGGGGGAAAGCAGGGGAUCUUCGGACCUUGCGCUAAUAGAUGAGCCUAAGUCGGAUUAGCUAGUUGGUGGGGUAAAGGCCUACCAAGGCGACGAUCUGUAGCGGGUCUGAGAGGAUGAUCCGCCACACUGGGACUGAGACACGGCCCAGACUCCUACGGGAGGCAGCAGUGGGGAAUACUGGACAAUGGGCGGAAGCCUGAUCCAGCCAUGCCGCGUGUGUGAAGAAGGCCUUUUGGUUGUAAAGCACUUUAAGCGAGGAGGAGGCUACCUGGAUUAAUACUCUAGGAUAGUGGACGUUACUCGCAGAGUAAGCACCGGCUAACUCUGUGCCAGCCGCCGCCGUAAAAC
rnacentral:rRNA from 1 species